rnacentral:tRNA from 1 species
UGGUGCCUAGUCUAACAAAGACCCCUAAUUUCGACUUAGGAAAUCCUACCAAACCCAGGGACACCAU